CGGCCUUAUUACAUUUAAAAACCCAAAACUUCAAACGUAAAUAAAAGGAUGUCCAGUUCACCAGAAGAAAAUCAAACUUUCAGAAUAGGUGGCCACUCCGAAUUCCCUCACAGCUCCAAGCCCACUAUGGUUGGGGAUUACCUACGUGGAUGAAAAUAAAAGGGGUGAGUUUGGGGAAAACUCAGUGUGUAAAUUAACCCAACCAUAGCCUCUAUCAGCUCAAACCACAGAAAUAGAAUAAGUUGGCCUUAGCCCAGAACAGAAUUCAGAAUAAAGCCCAUAGGCCCAUAACAGAACAGAACAGAUAUUACAUGUUUAUGCAGAAACCCAACCCAGAUUCAUCCAGAACACCCCCAUACCAGCCUUACACCAUAUGGGGAGACUACUCGACCCACCCAACCGCUACACACCACAGAAAUCACAGCGAGGCUGCCAGAUAUUGUGACGAAGUCACCAGAUACAGAUAUUGUGGCAGAGCCACCAGAACAGAUAUAUGUGGCAGUGCCACCAGAUCAGAUAAUUGUGGCAUAGCCAUCAAGACAAAUAUAUGUGGCAGAGCCACCAGAUCAGAUAAUUUUGGCAUAGCCACCAGGACGCUUCCUCCAUAGUAUAACCCAAGUACCCAUGCAACAGAUAUAUAAUCAUGGCAUACAUCGUACAGAAUCAGAUUGUCAUGCUUUUCAGUCAAAAGUAACCCUAGGGGUAUAAUGGUAAUUUUGCAUACAUAGGGGUAUUCAAGUAAUUUAACUAUUCUUAAGGUUUUCAUACAUAACAUAGCCAUUUACGUACGAUCAGAAACACUUACCGCUUUUUCUUACCAAUUUGGGCCCGUUGGCCCAUUAUCCCGUUUUUGGCCCAUUAAGCCCAAAAAUAUCGAAAUGCACAGAAUCGCACACUCUGCAGUCUUAUCACUUUAAUUUACCAUAUACAUCAAACUAUUAAUCUCAUGAGCAUUCAAAUACUCGCAAGAUCUCAAAAUACCGGCUUUUUGGCAUUUCGGCUUUUCGGCUUGUGCCGAUCUAGUCUAUAAGAGGGUGUUAGUUACACACCUGUUUGUGACGAUAUGCUGACGAGAUCCACACACGAACCGCCUACAAUUGGAUUACUAACAUGUUAAUCUAACUAUUCAAAUACGAACUACGUAUUAACCCCUUACAAUAUUUAGCCAAUCACACCUACAGAUCAGAGUAAGCUUAUAAGAAAUCAAUAAGCAACUCAUUAACGAAUUUUUGUCAGUGUUUACCACAUAAUCAUAAUUUCACUGCAAGCUGUCUUCCUGAGCAAUAGUCACUAAAUCAUUUAUAACUGGAGCUACAAAACUCCAAAUCAAGUGCCAUUAAUUUUCCCUGAAAAUAGACUCAAAUAUAUUUUAUCCAUAAAAUUUUAAGAAUUUUUGGUUCAGUCAAUCAAUACCAGAUUUUUCUCAAAAUUUCCCAUGUUUCACUGUUUGACUAAUCUGACGACUCUUCAUUACGAAUCAAAUUUCUCAUUGUACAAAAUUCAAAAUAUGUUCUUGUUUAUUUCAUUUGAAACUAGACUCAAUAAGCUUUAAUUACAUAAUUUAUUCAGCUUCUAAUUCAUCUCCCCCAAUUUAUGGUGAUUUUCCAAAGUCACAUUACUGCUGCUGUCCCAAGCAGAUUUAUUACCAAAUCACUCUUUCACACCUAACUUGCAUGCUUGUUAUUUAAACAUGUAUAUCACCAAUCAAUCAUCACAUAUCUAUGAUUUUACUUAAGUAUAAUCUCCAUUUCAUCAUUUUAAAGCACAACAUGUUAGCCGAUUUUUCCCCUUAGCAUCUAAGGCACAUGCAUGCUCAUUUGUUUGGCUCAGCUUCACCUAUCUUCCAUUUUUCAUCAAAAGAAUAUGAAACAACAACCAUUUCCUUCAUUUUAAUUCAUGACUAAAUGCUCACAACAGAACUAAAAAACCAAAAUAUGCUUCAAGAGUUAAGGUAGAAUCAAGAAGAACUCAUGAACCUCAAAAUAGAAGCAAGGUACCAAGAACUUACCUUCAAUUUUCCUCCUCCUAGUGACC
rnacentral:lncRNA from 1 species